GAAAUGAUACGAUCCAAUUUAGAUUAAAAACUGCUCGUGUUGCAUGUAUGCAGCAUCUGUGUUUGGAUCAUGAUUAAAAUGCAGUGGUUGCCUCUAAUUUUAAAUGGAAAUAGCACAGACAAAGCCUUAUUUUGUUUAUAUGAAGAGAUUUAUUUU